GGAGAGAUGGCUGAGUGGUUAAAAGCGACAGUCUCGAAAACUGUUAUACAUCUAAAAAUGUAUCGAGGGUUCGAAUCCCUCUCUCUCCG
rnacentral:tRNA from 1 species